GUGGCAGUAGCUCAAUGGUAGAGCUCCCGCUUCGCACAUGGGAAGACCUGGGUUGGAUUCCCGGCUGCUUCC
rfam:Toxocara canis scaffold570, whole genome shotgun sequence.